CGGUUGAUCCUGCCGGACGUUACUGCUAUCGGGGUACGACUAAGACAUGCUAGUCGAGAGGGGUAAGAAGAGCAUACAGCUCAGUAACACGUGGCUAACCUGCCCUUGGGACGGGGAUAACCCCGGGAAACUGGGGCUAAUACCGGAUAGAUCAGAGAUACUGGAAUGGGUCUUCACCCAAAAAGCCUAGUGCUCAAGGAUGGAGCCGCGGCCGAUCAGGUAGUUGUUGGGGUAACGUACCUACUAGCCAGCGACCGGUGCGGGCCGUGGGAGCGAGAGCCCGGAGAUGGGAACUGAGACAAGGGUCCAGGUCCUACGGGGCGCAGCAGUCGCGAAAACUUUACACUGCGCGAAAGCGCGACAGGGCUACCCCGAGUGCCAGCACCUAGUGCUGGCUGUUACUCUGUCUAGAAAACAGUGGUUAGCAAGGGCCGGGCAAGUCUGGUGUCAGCCGCCGCGGUAAUACCAGCGCUCCGAGUGGUGUCCAUUUUUAUUGGGUCUAUAGGAUCCGUAGCCGGCCAAUUCAGUCUCCUGUUAAAUCUGGCGGCUCAAUCGUCAGGUUUCCGAGAGAUACUGGCCGGCUUGGGACCGGGAGAGGUGGGAGGUACUCCCGGGGUAGGGGUGAAAUCCUGUAAUCCCGGGGAGACCACCAGUGGCGAAGGCUGUCGGCCAGAACGGGUCCGACGGUGAGGGACGAAACCUGGGGGCACGAACCGGAUUAGAUACCCGGGUAGUCCCAGCUGUAAACGAUGCUCGCUACGUGUAAGGUCGGCCACGCGCCGCUCUGGUGCCGCAGUGAAACUGUGAAGCCUGUCACCUGGGAAGUACGGUCGCAAGACUGAAACUUAUAGGAAUUGGCGGGGGUGCACUACAACGGGUGGAGCCUGCGGUUCAAUUCGAUUCAACGCCGGAAAGCUUACCGGGUUCGACAGCACUAUGAAGGUCAGGCUAAAGACCUUACCGAAUACGCUGAGAGGAGGUGCAUGGCCGUCGUCAGUUCGUAUCGUGAGACAUCCUGUUAAGUCAGGCAACGAGCAAGACCCGUGCCCACAGUUGCGAGCGUCUUCGCAAGAAGGACGGGCACACUGUGGGGACCGCCGCUGCUAAAGCGGAGGAAGGUGCGGGCUUCGGUAGGUCAGUAUGCCCCGAAUCGUCCGGGCUACACGCGGGCUACAUUGGUUGGGACAAUGGGCACCAACACCGAAAGGUGACGGUAAUCUCCUAAACCCAGCCUUAGUUCGGAUUGAGGGCUGCAACUCGCCCUCAUGAAGCCGGAAUCCGUAGUAAUCGCGUAUCAACAUCACGCGGUGAAUACGUCCCUGCUCCUUGCACACACCGCCCGUCAAACCAUGGGAGUGAGGUCUGAAUGAGGGCAUGCUUAAACAAGUUCGAAUUAGGCUUCGCGAGUGGGGUUAAGUCGUAACAAGGUAGCC
rnacentral:rRNA from 1 species